AGAAAUUCCCAGAAUACAUCUCACCCUGUAUUCAACAUUUAUGUCCAAACUAACGAUGGACAAGGGAAAGAGUGGGGGCAAUAUUAUGUCCAUUACAGAAUCAAAAAUGUCUCCCAACUGCCCUCUGGUGGCGACAAGAGGAACAGUUACCAAAUAGCUGUUGCUAUGAGGUCCCUAAGCAUCCGUGCAAGCGCUUCAACUUCAACUGGCUAUGUGGAGCACCCAAGCCAAAGUCCUCAGAGGCCACUCGACUUAGUCCAACAGACACGCCGUCCCAGCCACACUCCCCUCACUACCCACCACACUACAGGUCAACAUGCCCGAGGCGGCCGAAGUCCCAGCCCAGUGCCUGGCUCCCAAAGCAGAGAUGGAGAAGUGUGUCCAGGGGAAAGGAGCAGAGGCCUGCAAGGACCUUGUAGAAGCCUUCGCGGCAUGUGUGAAGAGUGCUUCUUCGUGAGAGAGAUCCAUGCUUCCACAUCACAAGUCCAUCAUUUUGAUUUUUGAGGGGUUGAGUCUACCAAUUUCCCAGCAUUCCCUGAUGCACAUUGCACUGGACUAAACCAUCUUUGGGACGGGAGUGGGGGUGUUGAUCUUCAGGAGGCCAUAGCAAGCCCCCUCUUAAUCCUGCCAUACCAUGUUUGUGUCCCUAUUACAGUUCAUGUACAUAUGUGCCCCCAAAAAAUUGAUUUUAAAUGUGAUAUUGUCUGUGUACAUGCACUGUACAUGUCAUUUCAUUAUGAAUUAAGUUUAUGCACUGGCAGUAGUGAAUGCAAUUUCAGAGCUAUAUGUCUUUUAGUAGGGUGUCUGGUUCUAUAAUAAUAAAAGAACUAAAACAA